rnacentral:rRNA from 1 species
GUGAGGAAUAUUGGUCAAUGGGCGAGAGCCUGAACCAGCCAAGUCGCGUGAAGGAAGAAGGAUCUAUGGUUCGUAAACUUCUUUUGCAGGGGAAUAAAGUGCAGGACGUGUCCUGUUUUGUAUGUACCCUGAGAAUAAGGAUCGGCUAACUCCGUGCCAGCAGCCGCGGUAAUACGGAGGAUCCGAGCGUUAUCCGGAUUUAUUGGGUUUAAAGGGUGCGUAGGUGGUUUGAUAAGUCAGCGGUGAAAGUUUGCAGCUUAACUGUAAAAAUGCCGUUGAAACUGUCGGACUUGAGUGUAAAUGAGGUAGGCGGAAUGCGUGGUGUAGCGGUGAAAUGCAUAGAUAUCACGCAGAACUCCGAUUGCGAAGGCAGCUUACUAAGCUACAACUGACACUGAAGCACGAAAGCGUGGGGAUCAAACAGGAUUAGAAACCCCUGUAGUCC